GAGGGAGGAAAUCAUGGCAUCUAGUGGCGACCAUCAACAAUGGCAGGCAUCCAAUGUUUGUUUGUCUCUUCUGUUUUUUUGGGAUUGGGUCAGCCCAACCUAAUUUGAUUUGAUCUGUUUGUUAAGUAGGUUAAACAGGUUGGGUCGUGUAACUUGUUUAGUAAGUAGGCCAGUUUAAGUUUUUUUAUCCUUUUAUUAAACAUGUUGGGUUUGGAUUGACAGUUCUUUUAAAAUACUUGCACCAUGAGCUGUUCUGAUCCAAUCUGACCCAUUGCCAUGCUUAUCUUCUGUCCUUUUCAUGCUUCUCACAUUACUAGUUUAUCCAGCCUC
rnacentral:lncRNA from 1 species